GCGCCCAUAGCUUAACGGAUAAAGCGGCUGCCUUCUAAGCAGUAGACUGAGUGUUCGAUUCACUCUGGGCGCA
rnacentral:tRNA from 1 species